CACUCCUACGGGAGGCAGCAGUGGGGAAUUUUCCGCAAUGGGGGCAACCCUGACGGAGCAAUACCGCGUGGGGGAGGAAGGCUUUUGGGUCGUAAACCUCUUUUCUCAGGGAAGAACACUGACGGUACCUGAGGAAUCAGCAUCGGCUAACUCCGUGCCAGCAGCCGCGGUAAUACGGAGGAUGCAAGCGUUAUCCGGAAUCAUUGGGCGUAAAGCGUCCGCAGGUGGCUUUUCAAGUCUGCUGUCAAAGCCCGGGGCUCAACCCUGGAGAGGCAGUGGAAACUGAGGAGCUGGAGUGCGGUAGGGGCAGAGGGAAUUCCCGGUGUAGCGGUGAAAUGCGUAGAUAUCGGGAAGAACACCAGUGGCGAAAGCGCUCUGCUGGACCGCAACUGACACUCAUGGACGAAAGCUAGGGGAGCGAAUGGGAUUAGAUACCCCAGUAGUCC
rnacentral:rRNA from 1 species